GAUGAACGCUGGCGGCGUGCCUAAUACAUGCAAGUCGAGCGAACAGAUGAGAAGCUUGCUUCUCUGAUGUUAGCGGCGGACGGGUGAGUAACACGUGGGUAACCUACCUAUAAGACUGGGAUAACUCCGGGAAACCGGGGCUAAUACCGGAUAAUAUUUUGAACCGCAUGGUUCAAUAGUGAAAGACGGUUUCGGCUGUCACUUAUAGAUGGACCCGCGCCGUAUUAGCUAGUUGGUAAGGUAACGGCUUACCAAGGCGACGAUACGUAGCCGACCUGAGAGGGUGAUCGGCCACCAUGGAACUGAGACACGGUCCAGACUCCUACGGGAGGCAGCAGUAGGGAAUCUUCCGCAAUGGGCGAAAGCCUGACGGAGCAACGCCGCGUGAGUGAUGAAGGUCCUCGGAUCGUAAAACUCUGUUGUUAGGGAAGAACAAAUUUGUUAGUAACUGAACAAGUCUUGACGGUACCUAACCAGAAAGCCACGGCUAACUACGUGCCAGCAGCCGCAGUAA
rnacentral:rRNA from 1 species